rnacentral:rRNA from 1 species
CCUACGGGAGGCAGCAGUGGGGAAUAUUGGGCAAUGGGCGCAAGCCUGACCCAGCAACGCCGCGUGAAGGAAGAAGGCUUUCGGGUUGUAAACUUCUUUUGUCAGGGACGAAGCAAGUGACGGUACCUGACGAAUAAGCCACGGCUAACUACGUGCCAGCAGCCGCGGUAAUACGUAGGUGGCAAGCGUUAUCCGGAUUUACUGGGUGUAAAGGGCGUGUAGGCGGGACUGCAAGUCAGAUGUGAAAACCACGGGCUCAACCUGUGGCCUGCAUUUGAAACUGUAGUUCUUGAGUACUGGAGAGGCAGACGGAAUGCCUUGUGUAGCGGUGAAAUGCGUAGAUAUAAGGAAGAACACCAGUGGCGAAGGCGGAUGACUGGACGGCAACUGACGGUGAGGCGCGAAAGCGUGGGGAGCAAACAGGAUUAGAUACCCCAGUAGUC